rnacentral:rRNA from 1 species
UGGUCAAGUUAUUAAGGGUGCAGGGCGGAUGCCUUGGCACUAGGAGCCGAUGAAGGACGUGAUAAGCUGCGAUAAGCUUCGGGGAGUUGCACGUAAACUUUGAUCCGAAGAUUUCCGAAUGAGGAAACUCACUUAGAGUAAUGUCUAAGUAUCAUUAAGUGAAUACAUAGCUUAAUGAGGGGAACUCAGGGAACUGAAACAUCUAAGUACCUGAAGGAAGAGAAAGAAAGUCGAUUCCGUAAGUAGCGGCGAGCGAACGCGGAUUAGCCCAAACCAAUAAAGUUUUCUUUAUUGGGGUUGCGGACAUAUCAUAACGAAGAGAUAUCGUAAUUGAAGAGGUUUGGAAAGACCCACCAC